rnacentral:rRNA from 1 species
AGUGAACGCUGGCGGUAGGCCUAACACAUGCAAGUCGAACGGCAGCACAGUAAGAGCUUGCUCUUACGGGUGGCGAGUGGCGGACGGGUGAGGAAUACAUCGGAAUCUACUUUUUCGUGGGGGAUAACGUAGGGAAACUUACGCUAAUACCGCAUACGACCUACGGGUGAAAGCAGGGGAUCUUCGGACCUUGCGCGAUUGAAUGAGCCGAUGUCGGAUUAGCUAGUUGGCGGGGUAAAGGCCCACCAAGGCGACGAUCCGUAGCUGGUCUGAGAGGAUGACCGGCCACACUGGAACUGAGCAACGGCCCAACCCCCCAGGGGAGGCAGCGGGGGGAAAUUUUGGAAAAUGGGGGAAAGCCUGAUCCAGCCAUCCCGGGGGGGUGAAGAAGGCCUUCGGGUUGUAAAGCCCUUUUGUUGGGAAAAAAAAGAAGCAGGUUAAAACCCCCCUGUUUUGGCGGUACCAAAAGAAUAAGCACCGGCUAACUUCGU